GCAUGAACUUGUGGUUAUAGAGCUCGACAACUGGCCUCUGUAGCUCAGGGGUUGGUUGUUCAAAGGUGGGUUAGCGCUAACUCUGGGUUAAAAUUUAACCUGCUGUUUUAGUUUGUGUAUUUCUACACGUCUGUUUAUUUCAAAACUUCAGAGAAGUAAACUCCUAUCGAUCCAGACAAGAUCUCUGAAGAAAUAUUUCCAAAUUUAUAGACAAGUUGUCAGGAAGUUUGCUUUGAA